UAAUCAUUUCUUAUUUCAGAUUCAAAGUGAUCAUUUUGAUGAGUUUUUCGCCCCUGAGUUGGACAAACAUGGUUAUCAAGCUCUCUACAAGAAGAAGACAACAGAGGUUUACACCGGGACUUAUGCUAUCGAUGGUUGUGCAACAUUUUUCCGAAGGGACAGAUUUUCCCAUGUGAAGAAAUACGAGGUCGAAUUCAACAAGGCUGCUCAGUCACUGACAGAUGUUGUGGUCCCAAUCACUCAGAAGAAAGCUGCUUUGUCUCGACUUCUUAAGGAUAAUGUUGCGCUAAUAGCGGUUCUGGAAGCG